UCCAAAGUGUUCAAAAUUAAAUAAAUAAAUAGGUCAUGAUGAAAUAAAUAACUAUGUGAAUAAAUAAGACACAGGUAUGUAAUGUGAGAAUGAUAUUGUGAAAUAAUGGAACACAUUUUGAAAAAAAUGCUCAUUAUUGUGAAAUAUAUUACAUUCUGCUAUAUAAAUUUAAUUAUUAUUGUGAAAUAUUAUUUCAUGGUCAUUAUUUUUCACAAUAACAGAGAUUAUUCCUGAGCCAUUUUAUUUAUUUCCAGCCGUUUUUAUUCCAAAAUGACCUUUUUUCAAAGUCAGUCUUUAUUUCAAAAUCCCGUUUUUCCCGAUGGCCUAUUUAUUUCAUAAUGCGACUUUUCAGCAGAAUGACUUUGUCUGUCAAUCAAUGUAAGUGGGUUGGACCUUUGCACCUAUUGGCUUAUCGUUUACCAUCGACUAGUUUUCCUGGAUACCUGCUCGGCGGACGGCUGCUACAGCUAGCGACAGCGUGCUAGGUCAAAAGUCACGGAGAAUGGCGGACUGGUGUGAACUUCAGUUAAUUCUGCUCAUUUUAGCAGAUCAGAUAGAGAGGGAUCAUUUACCAGUAGAUACUGUUCUGAGUCGUUUAGAUGAUGUUUCUUAAAUGCUUGGGAUGAUAAUUGCUCUUCAAGAUGUUAGCAUCGAUGACAACAUUGUCGAAGGUUUAAGAUCAAUUCAGCACCGUGUUCGUUUGGAAUACGCUGAGGAAGAACAGUCUUCAAAUAUUGGUCGUCCACGUCUUGAAAUCCCGGCUGCAGCACUCGGGACUUUAGUGCUGUCCGGGAUAACCAUCGGGGUAAUUGCCGAUAUGUUUUCCGUGUCUCCGAGCACAAUUAGGAGGAAAAUGACGGAGGAAGGUCUAAGAAAAUCUGAUAGGAAUUCUUCUGUUGGAGAUGUGGAUUUGGAUUCAAAAGUGCUGGACAUUCAGCGUCAUCACCCAAAUGUCGACUGCAGAAUGAUGAUGGGACAUCUACGAUCCAGAGGCAUACACAUUCAAAGAUUUCGACUGAUGGAUUCAAUGAGACGAGUCAAUCCAGAAGGGGUCAAGAUGCGACGGUUAUCUAUUAAGACUGCAAGGCGUUCUCAGUACAGUGUACCAGCAGCAAAUCACCUUUGGCAUAUAGAUGGAAAUCAGCAUUGAGCGCCUGUGGAGGGAUGUAUAUGAAAACAUCUUCACCCAGCUGGAGAUUCAAGGACUGCUCAACCCCGGUGAAAAAAUUCACUUGUUUGCACUGCACAGAUGCUUUUUGCAUCACAUUCAACAUCAUCUUCAGUCAUUCCAGGAAGCAUGGAAUCAGCACGGACUCAGAAAAGCAAACAACCAUUCAUCCCUGCACCUCUGGUUGCUGCACAGAAAGGACGGACAAGAUUUGUCACAGGUUGAUGAGGAUUAUGGUGUGGACUGGACAGGACCACAUAAUCACCGCCCAUCAAAUGAGAUCACCAUUCCUGAGAUUCAGCUCCCACGUGCACUGAAUGAACGAGACCCUGCUGUGCUACCAAA